CAACCUGCCCUUCAGAGGGGGACAACAGUUGGAAACGACUGCUAAUACCGCAUACGAUCCAAUCUCGGCAUCGAGAAUGGAUGAAAGGUGGCCUCUAUUUAUAAGCUAUCACUGAAGGAGGGGAUUGCGUCUGAUUAGCUAGUUGGAGGGGUAACGGCCCACCAAGGCGAUGAUCAGUAGCCGGUCUGAGAGGAUGAACGGCCACAUUGGGACUGAGACACGGCCCAGACUCCUACGGGAGGCAGCAUG
rnacentral:rRNA from 1 species